UGUCAAGAAUGCAAGGAUGGUCCAGUAUUAGAAAACUGUGCCAUUACCAGAGCCUGUAAAGGUGAACCCACUGGGGCUGGCUGGGGGAAAAGAGGAAGCUUGUUCCAGAAGGAACUGCCUGAGGGAU
ensembl:snoRNA SNORD22 Small nucleolar RNA SNORD22